UUUGAGCAAAUCUCUCACGUCUUCUUUGUCUAAAAGUCCACUCAAUUUCAGGGACUACGGGUAAUAGAUCAAUGAUUCAAUCUAUACUUAUAAACACCUAAAAAAUAAAUGAAAAAUAAAAUAAAGAAUAAAGAUUAAAUUAGUAGUGUUAAAAAUUAAAUAAAAACUAAACUGUAAAAAUAAUUUCACAAAGAAUGGUUAAGGCAACAGCCCCCAGCAACGGCACCAAAGCCUUGUAAUGAAUUGUAACGUGUUUACGCAAGUGUACGUAGUCGUUCAAGUAAUAAGUAAAUAAAAAUGAGUUAUCGUCUCCACAGGGACUGUAUAAGCUUAAACAAUUAAUUGCAAAA
rnacentral:lncRNA from 1 species